AACAUACUCCCUCCGUCCCAAAAUUCUUGUCUUAGAUUUGUCUAAAUACGGAUGUAUCAAGUCAUGUUUUAGUAUUAGAUACAUCCGUAUCUAGAUGAAUCUAAGACGAGAAUUUUGGGACGGAGGGAGUAGUAA
rnacentral:pre_miRNA from 1 species